AGUAGAUCUCCGAUGUGGAAAUCAACAGCAAAUCACAGAAAAACCGAUGCUUACAUGCAGAUGUAUAGCAGCGACAGACUGCUGAUUUUAAAUAAGAAGCUGUACCAACAAGCAGGUCUGGCAAGGCAUGCCACUGUCGGAGAUGUAUGGGAGGAACUUGCCUGCAUAAGCUGAAGGGUCCUGCAUGUGAUACUACUCAGCGCACUUUUACAGUCUUUCACUUUCAUAUUUUACAAGUCCAAUGAAUCCAAUAUUUACUAAACAUCCCUUCCAUUGCAUAAUAAGUGAUACAUUUACACAUGUCUAAAAUAAACACCAGCAAGAUUUAUUGCAUGACCAGUAAAUUUAGUGUGAGGAAGUCUGGAAAAAAGACAUUUAUAAGCAAUGUU